CGGAGGAAAAGAAACCAACUGGGAUUACCUUAGUAACGGCGAGUGAAGCGGUAAAAGCUCAAAUUUGAAAUCUGGUACUUUCAGUGCCCGAGUUGUAAUUUGUAGAAUUUGUCUUUGAUUAGGUCCUUGUCUAUGUUCCUUGGAACAGGACGUCAUAGAGGGUGAGAAUCCCGUUUGGCGAGGAUACCUUUUCUCUGUAAGACUUUUUCGAAGAGUCGAGUUGUUUGGGAAUGCAGCUCAAAGUGGGUGGUAAAUUCCAUCUAAAGCUAAAUAUUGGCGAGAGACCGAUAGCGAACAAGUACAGUGAUGGAAAGAUGAAAAGAACUUUGAAAAGAGAGUGAAAAAGUACGUGAAAUUGUUGAAAGGGAAGGGCAUUUGAUCAGACAUGGUGUUUUUUGCAUGCACUCGCCUCUCGUGGGCUUGGGCCUCUCAAAAAUUUCACUGGGCCAACAUCAAUUCUGGCAGCAGGAUAAAUCAUUAAGAAUGUAGCUACUUCGGUAGUGUUAUAGCUUUUUGGAAUACUGUUAGCCGGGAUUGAGGACUGCGCUUCGGCAAGGAUGUUGGCAUAAUGGUUAAAUGCCGCCCGUCUUGAACCACGGGACCU
rnacentral:rRNA from 1 species